UACGGAGGGGGCAAGCGUUGUUCGGAAUUACUGGGCGUAAAGCGCAUGUAGGCGGCCUAGCAGGUCGGAUGUGAAAUCCCUCGGCUCAACCAAGGAAGUGCAUUCGAAACCGCAAGGCUGGAGUCCCGGAGAGGAUGGUGGAAUUCUCGGUGUAGAGGUGAAAUUCGUAGAUAUCGAGAGGAACACCGGCGGCGAAGGCGGCCAUCUGGACGAGGACUGACGCUGAGAUGCGAAAGCGUGGGGAGCAAACAGG
rnacentral:rRNA from 1 species